rnacentral:rRNA from 1 species
GUGAUCUAGCCAUGGGCAGGUUGAAGGUUGGGUAACACUAACUGGAGGACCGAACCGACUAAUGUUGAAAAAUUAGCGGAUGACUUGUGGCUGGGGGUGAAAGGCCAAUCAAACCGGGAGAUAGCUGGUUCUCCCCGAAAGCUAUUUAGGUAGCGCCUCGUGAAUUCAUCUCCGGGGGUAGAGCACUGUUUCGGCAAGGGGGUCAUCCCGACUUACCAACCCGAUGCAAACUGCGAAUACCGGAGAAUGUUAUCACGGGAGACACACGGCGGGUGCUAACGUCCGUCGUGAAGAGGGAAACAACCCAGACCGCCAGCUAAGGUCCCAAAGUCAUGGUUAAGUGGGAAACGAUGUGGGAAGGCCCAGACAGCCAGGAUGUUGGCUUAGAAGCAGCCAUCAUUUAAAGAAAGCGUAAUAGCUCACUGGUCGAGUCGGCCUGCGCGGAAGAUGUAACGGGGCUAAACCAUGCACCGAAGCUGCGGCAGCGACGCUUAUGCGUUGUUGGGUAGGGGAGCGUUCUGUAAGCCUGUGAAGGUGUGCUGUGAGGCAUGCUGGAGGUAUCAGAAGUGCGAAUGCUGACAUAAGUAACGAUAAAGCGGGUGAAAAGCCCGCUCGCCGGAAGACCAAGGGUUCCUGUCCAACGUUAAUCGGGGCAGGGUGAGUCGACCCCUAAGGCGAGGCCGAAAGGCGUAGUCGAUGGGAAACAGGUUAAUAUUCCUGUACUUGGUGUUACUGCGAAGGGGGGACGGAGAAGGCUAUGUUGGCCGGGCGACGGUUGUCCCGGUUUAAGCGUGUAGGCUGGUUUUCCAGGCAAAUCCGGAAAAUCAAGGCUGAGGCGUGAUGACGAGGCACUACGGUGCUGAAGCAACAAAUGCCCUGCUUCCAGGAAAAGCCUCUAAGCAUCAGGUAACAUCAAAUCGUACCCCAAACCGACACAGGUGGUCAGGUAGAGAAUACCAAGGCGCUUGAGAGAACUCGGGUGAAGGAACUAGGCAAAAUGGUGCCGUAACUUCGGGAGAAGGCACGCUGAUAUGUAGGUGAAGUCCCUCGCGGAUGGAGCUGAAAUCAGUCGAAGAUACCAGCUGGCUGCAACUGUUUAUUAAAAACACAGCACUGUGCAAACACGAAAGUGGACGUAUACGGUGUGACGCCUGCCCGGUGCCGGAAGGUUAAUUGAUGGGGUUAGCCGCAAGGCGAAGCUCUUGAUCGAAGCCCCGGUAAACGGCGGCCGUAACUAUAACGGUCCUAAGGUAGCGAAAUUCCUUGUCGGGUAAGUUCCGACCUGCACGAAUGGCGUAAUGAUGGCCAGGCUGUCUCCACCCGAGACUCAGUGAAAUUGAACUCGCUGUGAAGAUGCAGUGUACCCGCGGCAAGACGGAAAGACCCCGUGAACCUUUACUAUAGCUUGACACUGAACAUUGAGCCUUGAUG